UGAGGAAUAUUGCGCAAUGGACGAAAGUCUGACGCAGCCAUGCCGCGUGCAGGAUGACGGCGCUACGCGUUGUAAACUGCUUUUAUAUGCCAAGAAACCUUCGGACGUGUCCGAAGCUGACGGUAGCAUAUGAAUAAGCACCGGCUAACUCCGUGCCAGCAGCCGCGGUAAUACGGAGGGUGCAAGCGUUAUCCGGAUUUAUUGGGUUUAAAGGGUCCGUAGGCGGAUCAUUAAGUCAGUGGUGAAAGCCGGCAGCUCAACUGUCGAACUGCCAUUGAUACUGAUGAUCUUGAAUACGGUUGAAGUUGGCGGAAUAGGUCAUGUAGCGGUGAAAUGCUUAGAUAUGACCU
rnacentral:rRNA from 1 species